UACGUAGGGUGCAAGCGUUGUCCGGAAUUACUAGGCGUAAAAGAGUUCGUAGGCGGUUUGUCGCGUCGUUCGUGAAAACUUGGGGCUUAACUCCAAGCGUGCGGGCGAUACGGGCAGACUUGAGUACUACAGGGGAGACUGGAAUUCCUGGUGUAGCGGUGAAAUGCGCAGAUAUCAGGAGGAACACCGGUGGCGAAGGCGGGUCUCUGGGCCGAUACUGACGCUGAGGAGCGAAAGCGUGGGGAGCGAACAGG
rnacentral:rRNA from 1 species